rnacentral:rRNA from 1 species
UACGUAGGGUGCGAGCGUUAAUCGGAAUUACUGGGCGUAAAGCGUGCGCAGGCGGCGCGUUAAGACAGGUGUGAAAGCCCCGAGCUUAACUUGGGAAUUGCGCUUGUGACUGCCCGGCUAGAGUGUGUCAGAGGGGGGUAGAAUUCCACGUGUAGCAGUGAAAUGCGUAGAUAUGUGGAGGAAUACCGAUGGCGAAGGCAGCCCCCUGGGAUAACACUGACGCUCAUGCACGAAAGCGUGGGGAGCAAACAGG